UACGUAGGGUGCAAGCGUUGUCCGGAAUUAUUGGGCGUAAAGAGCUCGUAGGCGGUCUGUCGCGUCUGCUGUGAAAACUCAGGGCUUAACCCUGAGCUUGCAGUGGGUACGGGCAGACUAGAGUGCGGUAGGGGAGACUGGAAUUCCUGGUGUAGCGGUGAAAUGCGCAGAUAUCAGGAGGAACACCGGUGGCGAAGGCGGGUCUCUGGGCAGUAACUGACGCUGAGGAGCGAAAGCGUGGGGAGCGAACAGG
rnacentral:rRNA from 1 species